GAUGAACGCUGGCGGCGUGCCUAAUACAUGCAAGUCGAGCGAACGGACGAGAAGCUUGCUUCUCUGAUGUUAGCGGCGGACGGGUGAGUAACACGUGGAUAACCUACCUAUAAGACUGGGAUAACUUCGGGAAACCGGAGCUAAUACCGGAUAAUAUUUUGAACCGCAUGGUUCAAAAGUAAAAGACGGUCUUGCUGUCACUUAUAGAUGGAUCCGCGCUGCAUUAGCUAGUUGGUAAGGUAACGGCUUACUAAGGCAACGAUGCAUAGCCGACCUGAGAGGGUGAUCGGCCACACUGGAACUGAGACACGGUCCAGACUCCUACGGGAGGCAGCAGUAGGGAAUCUUCCGCAAUGGGCGAAAGCCUGACGGAGCAACGCCGCGUGAGUGAUGAAGGUCUUCGGAUCGUAAAACUCUGUUAUUAGGGAAGAACAUAUGUGUAAGUAACUGUGCACAUCUUGACGGUACCUAAUCAGAAAGCCACGGCUAACUACGUG
rnacentral:rRNA from 1 species